CGUAAAAGACUAGUGUUAUUCAUCUUUUACCAGGUUUAAAGGGUACCUAGACGGUAAAAUCGUCGUUAAGAUACGAUUAUACUAGAGUUAUAUAUAAGGAGGUGAGUAUUUAUGGAGUGUGAGAGUUGAAAUUUGUUCAUACCAUAAGGACUGGUAAAGGCGAAAGCAACCUUUUAUCUAAUAACUGACGUUGAGGGACGAAGGCUCGGGUAGCGAACAGGAUU
rnacentral:rRNA from 1 species